rnacentral:rRNA from 1 species
AUACGGGGGAUGCAAGCGUUAUCCGGAAUCAUUGGGCGUAAAGCGUCUGCAGGUUGUUUGAUAAGUCUGUUGUUAAAGACUGGGGCUUAACCCCAGGAAAGCAAUGGAAACUGUCAGACUUGAGUAUGGUAGAGGUAGAGGGAAUUCCUAGUGUAGCGGUGAAAUGCGUAGAUAUUAGGAAGAACACCGGUGGCGAAAGCGCUCUACUGGGCCAUAACUGACACUCAGAGACGAAAGCUAGGGUAGCAAAUGGGAUUAGAAACCCCGGUAGUCC